AACGAACGCUGGCGGCAUGCUUAACACAUGCAAGUCGAACGAGAAGGCGUAGCAAUACGCUGGUACAGUGGCGAACGGGUGAGGAAUACAUGGGUAACCUACCCUCGAGUGGGGGAUAACCCGCCGAAAGGCGGGCGUAAUACCGCGUACGCUUCCGAUCUUGCGGGAUCGGAAGGAAAGCUGUCCCAAGGGGAGUGGCGCUCAAGGAUGGGCUCAUGUCCUAUCAGCUUGNGGUAGGGUAACGGCCUACCAAGGCAUCGACGGGUAGCUGGUCUGAGAGGACGAUCAGCCACACUGGCACUGCGACACGGGCCAGACUCCUAC
rnacentral:rRNA from 1 species